GACGAACGCUGGCGGCGUGCUUAACACAUGCAAGUCGAACGGAAAGGCCCUGCUUUUGUGGGGUGCUCGAGUGGCGAACGGGUGAGUAACACGUGAGUAACCUGCCCUUGACUUUGGGAUAACUUCAGGAAACUGGGGCUAAUACCGGAUAGGAUCUCCUGCUGCAUGGUGGGGGUUGGAAAGUUUCGGCGGUUGGGGAUGGACUCGCGGCUUAUCAGCUUGUUGGUGGGGUAGUGGCUUACCAAGGCUUUGACGGGUAGCCGGCCUGAGAGGGUGACCGGCCACAUUGGGACUGAGAUACGGCCCAGACUCCUACGGGAGGCAGCGGUGGGGAAUAUUGCACAAUGGGCGGAAGCCUGAUGCAGCAACGCCGCGUGCGGGAUGACGGCCUUCGGGUUGUAAACCGCUUUCGCCUGUGACGAAGCGUGAGUGACGGUAAUGGGUAAAGAAGCACCGGCUAACUACGUG
rnacentral:rRNA from 1 species